AUUGAACGCUGGCGGCAGGCUUAACACAUGCAAGUCGAGCGAGCGGCGGACGGGUGAGUAAUGUCUGGGACACUGCCUGAUGGAUGGGGAUAACUACUGGAACCGGUACCUAAUACCGCAUACCAUCAGAUGUGCCCAGGUGGGAUUAGCUAGUAGGUGGGGUAAUGGCUAACCUAGGCGACGAUCCCUAGCUGGUCUGAGAGGAUGACCGGCCACACUGGAACUGAGACACGGUCCAGACUCCUACGGGAGGCAGCAGUGGGGAAUAUUGCGCAAUGGGCGCAAGCCUGAUGCAGCCACGCCGCGUGUGUGAAGAAGGCCUUCGGGUUGUAAAGCACUUUCAGCGGGGAGGCGUUACCUGCAGAAGAAGCACCGGCUAACUCCGUGCCAGCAGCCGCGGUAAUAC
rnacentral:rRNA from 1 species